rnacentral:rRNA from 1 species
UCAACGGAGAGUUUGAUCCUGGCUCAGGACGAACGCUGGCGGCGUGCUUAACACAUGCAAGUCGAACGGUGACAUCGGUGCUUGCACCGGUUGAUCAGUGGCGAACGGGUGAGUAACACGUGAGUAACCUGCCCCAAACUCUGGGAUAACUCCGGGAAACCGGAGCUAAUACCGGAUACGAGACGUACGGACAUCCGUAGCGUUUGGAAAGAAUUUCGGUUUGGGAUGGACUCGCGGCCUAUCAGCUUGUUGGUGAGGUAAUGGCUCAC